rnacentral:tRNA from 1 species
AUUUAAAUAGCUUAAAGAAAGCGUGAUAUUGAAGCUAUCAAGAUGGACUUAGUCCUUUAAAUA